rnacentral:rRNA from 1 species
GUAGGUGGCAAGCGUUGUCCGGAAUUAUUGGGGCGUAAAGCGCGCGCAGGCGGUUCUUUAAGUCUGAUGUGAAAGCCCACGGGCUCAACCGUGGAGGGUCAUUGGAAACUGGAGAACUUGAGUACAGAAGAGGAAAGCGGAAUUCCACGUGUAGCGGUGAAAUGCGUAGAGAUGUGGAGGAACACCAGUGGCGAAGGCGGCUUUCUGGUCUGUAACUGACGCUGAGGCGCGAAAGCGUGGGGAGCGAACAGGAUUAGAUACCCUGGUAGUCCACGCCGUAAACGAUGAGUGCUAAGUGUUAGGGGGUUUCCGCCCCUUAGUGCUGCAGCUAACGCAUUAAGCACUCCGCCUGGGGAGUACGGCCGCAAAGGCUG